rnacentral:lncRNA from 1 species
GUUAUUUAUAAAACAAAACACCAUAGAAGUAGUUUAAUACAUGAACUAACGCUUAAUAAUGUUUAGAAACUAAAAGUCGUAAGGUGAUUGCAGCAUUAGCUACAAACAAUCUACUCAAUAACUACCAACUACUAAUAUUUCUUUUGACUUCUUUUUUCUUUUGUCGAGGUUUGAACCUCUAACCGGCAAAAAUUAUUAUGCAUAAGUCAUUUCCUUAUGCACCCUGCAUAAACACUUCACAAAACCAUUAGACAAUUAUUUUGGUUUCUCAUAAAAGAAUAUCAAAACCAUUAAACCAUAAUUAUGGUUUCAGUAAUAAUUUCAGUGUAUAACAUCUUAAUCAUUAUUUAAAAC